rnacentral:rRNA from 1 species
UGAGGAAUAUUGCGCAAUGGGGGCAACCCUGACGCAGCAACGCCGCGUGGACGAUGAAGGCCUUCGGGUCGUAAAGUCCUUUUCUGAGGGAAGAUAAUGACGGUACCUCAGGAAUAAGUCCCGGCUAACUACGUGCCAGCAGCCGCGGUAAAACGUAGGGGGCGAGCGUUAUCCGGAUUUACUGGGCGUAAAGCGCACGUAGGCGGCGCUGUAAGUUGGGCGUGAAAGCUCCCGGCUCAACUGGGAGAGGUCGUUCAAUACUGCAGUGCUCGAGGUUGGCAGAGGAGAGUGGAAUUCCCGGUGUAGUGGUGGAAUGCGUAGAUAUCGGGAGGAACACCAGUGGCGAAGGCGACUCUCUGGGCCAUACCUGACGCUGAGGUGCGAAAGCGUGGGGAGCGAACGGGAUUAGAUACCCCCGUAGUCC